GGGCAGUACAAGGAUUUUGGCAGUAUAUAUUGAGGCUGUAAUAACUUGGAACUAUGAUUCAAGAAGCAAUGAGUCUGUGCUGUCCACUCUCUGACAGACAUCAAGGAUUUGGCAGUGUAUCUUGAGUGCUUAAUAAUCCGUAAAGUUUUGGAUGAUAUGAGAGAAUGUGUGUCUCUGACAGCUUAUCAAACACAUAAUACAAGCAGAACACUCCCAAUGCACAGAGAUAUUGACCUACAGAAGUUGAGGUGAAUAGGUACAGAAGCUGCAUUAACAGGAACAAUAUUUGAAUGAUAACUUCUGUAUAUUUUGUUGAAACCUGACUCUCCUAAUCACCUGUAUCUAUAACACUUAUAUACUCAGGAUGAAAACAGACAGAAAGGAUUGAGUUUUGAUUGGUUCUUCACAAUGAAGAGGGUCAUUUGGAGGACAGAAAUGUAUGAAGUUCAGUUUGAUUAAGGAAAGGU